rnacentral:rRNA from 1 species
GAUGAACGCUGGCGGCGUGCCUAAUACAUGCAAGUCGAGCGAACAGACGAGGAGCUUGCUCCUCUGACGUUAGCGGCGGACGGGUGAGUAACACGUGGAUAACCUACCUAUAAGACUGGGAUAACUUCGGGAAACCGGAGCUAAUAUCGGAUAAUAUAUUGAACCGCAUGGUUCAAUAGUGAAAGACGGUUUUGCUGUCCCUUAUAGAUGGAUCCGCGCCGCAUUAGCUAGUUGGUGAGGUAACGGCUUACCAAGGCAACGAUGCGUAGCCGACCUGAGAGGGUGAUCGGCCACACUGGAACUGAGACACGGUCCAGACUCCUACGGGAGGCAGCAGUAGGGAAUCUUCCGCAAUGGGCGAAAGCCUGACGGAGCAACGCCGCGUGAGUGAUGAAGGUCUUCGGAUCGUAAAACUCUGUUAUUAGGGAAGAACAAAUGUGUAAGUAACUAUGCACGUCUUGACGGUACCUAAUCAGAAAGCCACGGCUAACUACGUG